CAAAUGCUACACACAGGGCUUGUUUAGGGGAGAGCUGGUGUCCAAGCUGACAACUGUGCUCAGUACAAGGUUUCUUUUCGCACCUGGAUCCAGGCACUGGUGAGUCUGGGUCUCGUUUCCAACCACCAGCCCAGUCUCAGCCGUGUUAUCUGGGGAGCACCCUCAUAAACGUGUGGUGGGGGCCGUGUCUUCUAGAACCAGACUCAGGACUGCAAGGUGGAGCUCCUUCUCCUGGGUCUGCGUGACCCUGAUACACACGUGGCUGACUGUUCUGGCUGAUAACUUUUUGAACUCUGAUUGUUGACCCAAGACCCAGUGGAACAAGAAGUAAUUGUACAUGAUCAAAGGAACAGCAGAAAGAAAGGUGAAAGAGGGGGAGAAACAUCAAUGUGUGGUUGCCGCUCACAUGCCUUCUGCCGGGGACCUGGCCCGCAACCCCAGCCUGUGCCCCAACCAGGAAUCGAACCAGCAACCCUUCAGUUUGCAGUUCUUAAGAAAACCAUCCGUGCACCAUGGACAACUAAUCCAAAUCCUUGGACCGGCCGCCCUGCCACAAAGUUUUGUCAAAGGAGAGGGAACUGACGAUGGAGAUGGCAGUGGAGGGAGAGCUUCAAAUUACAACCGUCAUUCCCCCUUUGUAAACCUUGGCCAGGUGACUGUGGUUCCAACAACCAUGAAAUGGCCAUCGGGAUCAAUCAUCACACUGAGAAGAAAACAGUCACCACCUCUGGGGAGCUCUGCUGGACCGGCCCUGAAGGCAGGCAGUCCCAGCACCGAGGACCUGGGCCCAAGGCACAGGCUCAGGACCCAUGUAAAGGCGGGUCAUAACUUCUGUUCCCAGUCAUUUAAUGAUGACCUGAGUCAGUGGGGACACUGGGGUAACUAUGUCCAUGUCUUUAGCAUAUGACAGGUUAUUAAGCAAAUAGUCAGGUACCGAAGACCCCAGGAAAUGCAGGAGCCCCAGGGCACUUCCCUAGGCAAACACAGGCCACAGGCCCCACACGGGCAGCACCCUCACCUCUCCA